GAUGUUCCAACAACAAGCUAGAUGGAUGUGUGCCCUGAUGGCAGCUGAGAUGAUCACUCCACUGGGACCACCCCUCCCAGGACUAGUGACCUUUAUGGGAAACUGACUCCACCGAGAAGACAGAAAGAAUGGAAAGAUAGGAGGGACACAGCCCUUGUGACAGGACUGCCAAUAUCAGAUGGUCAUAUAAGGUUGAAAUGAAAUCUUGACAGCACAGCAAGAAUACUUUUAUACUUGUGGUUUUAAGUGACACAAUAGUCACAGACAUCUACCUCAAAAAUGAAGACUUGAAGAAAAUCGCCUCUAUGCCUGAGGCUGAAGAAGUUUCCUUCUUCUUUAUAUUAGUCCCCAAAUGUCUCUGCUAACAGAUCAGUCAUGAAGUCUUUGCCUGACAAACUUUUGAGAUUUAAAAUGAAGUACCCUUGGAUGCAUGUUAUUUCAGUGAUUCCAUAUUCUUAUCUCACACAUAAUAUUGAGUCAAUUCAUGAAGGAAUGAAGUGAACAGACCAUGUACAGGAAGUUGAUGUGUACUCCUAUUGUUCUCAAGGAAGCCUGAAUUCUGAGUUCAGCAUGCCUACAAGGUUUUAAAUAUAACUGAUUUUACAUGAUGCCCAUCAUUAUUAUUAUACCACAGUUAAGAUAUUUAGGGAAAGUAAAUCUAUUGACAAUGCAAAGUGAGAUAAUUCUGGGAAUCAGUUGAUUGUAUAGUGUUACAAAUUGUUAAAUUUAGCCAUAGAAAGGCUUAAUACUAAGAUUUUUAUAGUUGAUGUAAAAACCAGACAGGUUAUACAGAUCCAUAUAUAAGACCAUUUACUUAUUGCAGAAAGAAUAUUGAAUUACCUGGAGCAGGACAGGAUCACCAUGCUUUAAGCAAAGGGUACAUAAAACUAGUGACCUAUUUUGUCAUUGAAGAUCAAUAUGUUAAGAUCAAUAACAAUAUGGAACAGAAAGAUAAGAAAGUACUUAAUAUUUUAAUAUUUCACAUAUACACAAACAAAUUUUCUACUUAGAAUCAUUUCACAACAAAAAAAGGAAAUCUGUCCUUCUUGUAAUGGAGUGAUAGAUCACAUACUAAGAUAGAUGUCCUCUUAUUGUUAUUAUAUGCAUAUUCACUGUGAUUUUGAUUCUCUCCUGUGAAAACAUCUUAUUUACCCUCCAGCUAAUGGACCUUGUUUUGACUAACAUGGAAGAGUGACAUGAUUUGUCUUUCAAGCCCAAGCAAGACUCAUGAGCAUGCUUAAUUUCUUCCCUUGUCUUCUAAGAAAUCAAAUGUUGUAUAAAGGCAUCCUAAGAGAGCCUGCUGGAAAUAUAAUAUAGAUGGAGCUGACAUACCCUGGCUGCAGGCCACACUUGAGGCCAGUUAUGUAAGUUACACCAUCCACAAGCAACACAAUGCCUGACCCAUCACAAUGUGACUGAUUCCAGUUGAUGCUCCUUCCAAUUUGAAACCUACUACAACACACAAAGAAAAGCUCCUUUGAAAAAAAUCAUUAAAGGAAAAAAAUAGCAUCUUGGCCCCCACAGUAUAUAUCUAAAAGUGACCGAAGAAUUUCUCCUUCCGACAGUUAUAGGUGCAAGCUUCUACACGUAGGAACUGUCAUUCAAUCCUUACAACACAAUGACAGGAACUUAUCAGUCUUCCUGCUUCACAGAUGAGGAAAUUCAGAAAACAGAGGUUCUCAGUGGGAUUUACAUGUUUUAUGAAAAGUGUCAUUUGAAAUCUGGAUAAGAGGACAAGAGGUAGCAAGAUACACUGUGGUAUUAGAAGCACUAUGAUGACAGCUGUUGAGGUUUAAGAGAGGAAGAAAAUGCCUUCAAAUGAGGAAGAAUGGAACCAGGAGAAUGUCAAUGUACAAGAGCUGUGAAGGAUGUUGUCAGGUCCUGGCUACAUGGAAAUGCUAAUCAGCAGAUCAUGCAAGCUCCAAUCAUCAUUUUCGGUCAUACUUUCUAAGCUGAUUCCUACUAUAGUUGAAGAAUUAAUGCACUGGACUGUGCUCUCGGACUAACACAAAUAAGAUGGCUACUGGCCAGCCCAUUUGGCUUUUCUUACUCCUUAUUCCAAGCAGAGGAAAUGGAUAGAUGCUCUCAAUCACCUCUUGUUUUCCUAAGGUAGCCUCACUGGUGAUGUGAGUAGCAGUCCAGUCAUCCUUGUUCCACAUCUAGCAUCUUCCUAUGAGGGGUAAAAAGCUCAUCAACAACCAAACGCUGAGAGAUGAAGAGAAUGACCAGAAGACAUCGUUAACAUCAAAUCUCUAUAACCCACUGAUGUAAACAACCAGAACGAAUUAUUCACUAGUGGGAAGUAUCUCUCAAAGACUCUUGGAUCCCUUCCCUAUUAUAAAGAAGGAAUUAAGUGAUCAUUAUUUGGGCCAUUUUUUUUUAAAAUGGUUUUAUGAUGCUCACUGCAGCCUCCUUGUAAAGAAAAG